rnacentral:rRNA from 1 species
UACGAAGGGGGCUAGCGUUGUUCGGAUUUACUGGGCGUAAAGCGCCCGUAGGCGGAUUGUUAAGUCAGGGGUGAAAUCCUGGAGCUCAACUCCAGAACUGCCUUUGAUACUGGCAAUCUCGAGUCCGGAAGAGGUGAGUGGAACUCCUAGUGUAGAGGUGGAAUUCGUAGAUAUUAGGAAGAACACCAGUGGCGAAGGCGGCUCACUGGUCCGGUACUGACGCUGAGGUGCGAAAGCGUGGGGAGCAAACAGG